rnacentral:rRNA from 1 species
GCGGGCCGUGAGAGCGGGAGCCCGGAGAUGGGCACUGAGACAAGGGCCCAGGCCCUACGGGGCGCAGCAGUCGCGAAAACUUUGCAAUACACGAAAGUGUGACAGGGCUAUCCCGAGUGCCAUCCGCUGAGGAAGGCUUUUACCCAGUCUAGAACGCUGGGGGAAUAAGGAGAGGGCAAGUCUGGUGUCAGCCGCCGCGGUAAUACCAGCUCUCCGAGUGGUGUGGAUGUUUAUUGGGCCUAAAGCAUCCGUAGCUGGCUAAGUUAGUCCCUUGUUAAAUCCACCGAAUCAAUCGUUGGAUUGCGGGGGAUACUGCUCGGCUAGGGGACGGGAGAGGCAGACGGUAUUUCCGGGGUAAGGGUGAAAUCUUAUAAUCCCGGGAAGACCACCAGUGGCGAAGGCUGUCUGCUAGAACGCGCCCGA